rnacentral:rRNA from 1 species
UACGAAGGGGGCUAGCGUUGCUCGGAAUCACUGGGCGUAAAGCGCACGUAGGCGGAUCUUCAAGUCAGGGGUGAAAUCCUGGAGCUCAACUCCAGAACUGCCUUUGAUACUGGGGAUCUCGAGUCCGGGAGAGGUGAGUGGAACUCCGAGUGUAGAGGUGAAAUUCGUAGAUAUUCGGAAGAACACCAGUGGCGAAGGCGGCUCACUGGCCCGGUACUGACGCUGAGGUGCGAAAGCGUGGGGAGCAAACAGG